ensembl:snRNA U6 U6 spliceosomal RNA
GUGCUCGCUUCGGCAGCACUUAUACUAAAAUUGGAACGAUACAGAGAAGGUUAGCAUGGCCCCUGUGCAAGGAUGACACCCAAAUUCGUGAAGCGUUCUAUAUUUUU